AUGGCAUUCACAAAGCAGCCUUUGGAGCAGUUUCGAGAGAAUCCACCAGAGGGCGAUGCUUCUUCACAUGUGGUGGGCUGUCAGGUGGCGAUUUUACAUGCCAGACAGCUGCUGUGCAGUUUCUUGCUUAUUAUGAGUGAGGAGUUUCAACAGGAUCCGGUUGAGACUAGCUCUGUCAGUGUUGGUGUCCUGCAAGAAUCAAGGAUCACUUUCUCCCAUGAACAUGUUUCCAGACACCGGCUCAGCCCUCGUGCUCCUCUUAAUGCUCAUGAGGAGUAAUGGAGACUCAGUGGCACAGACAGAAGGCCUGGUUACUCUCACAGAGGGGUUGCCUGUGAUCCUGAACUGCACCUAUCAGACCACUUUCGCCGCUUCUUUCCUCUCCUGGUAUGUCCAAUACCCUAGUGAAGGGCUCCAGCUGCUCCUGAAGACGGCAACUGAAAACCAGAGGACGGAGAACCGAGGGUUUCACGCCACGCUUGUGAAGAGCAGCCGCUCCUUCCACCUGCAGAAGUCCUCACUGCAGCUGUCAGACUCGGCCCUGUACUACUGCGCUGUGAGAACACAGAGUCUAGUCUAUGGUUCCUUGUUACAGAGAGUUCACCCUAAAUCCCCACCAACGCUCACUUCAUGA